CGCUCCUUGAUUUUAAUUAAUAAGGAGUCGGACCUGCCCAGUGAUAAGUAUUUAACGGCCGCGGUACUCUGACCGUGCAAAGGUAGCAUAAUCAUUUGCCCUAUAAUUGAGGGCUAGUAUGAAUGGUUUGACAAGAACAAUACUGUCUCUUUCAAAAUUUCUAGAAUUUAUUCUUUAGGUGAAGAAACCUAAAUAAAAUUAAAAGACAAGAAGACCCUAUCGAGCUUAAACUCUUUUUAUAAAAUAAAAAAAAUUAAUAGUAUUUUUUGUUAUAAAAAAUUUUGGUUGGGGCGACUAAGGAACAAAAAAAGCUUCUUUAUUUAAUAAAGACAAAUGUGUAUUGAUCCAUAAAAUCUUGAUUAAAAGAAUUAGUUACCGUAGGGAUAACAGCAUAAUCUUUUUUAAGAGUUCUUAUCGAAAAAAAGGUUUGUGACCUCGAUGUUGGACUAAAAUUUCCUAAUAGAUGCAGACGUCUUUAAGGG
rnacentral:rRNA from 1 species